rnacentral:RNase_P_RNA from 1 species
CGGAGAGGCUGAGGGGUCGCUCCGGCUGCAAGACCGGCAAUGGCCGGAACACCGCACGCCGGGGAGGAACCUCCGGACUCCACAGAGCGCGGUGCCCGCCGAAAGGCGGGGGAUCGGAGGCCCAAGCCUCCGGUAACGGAAAGUGCCACAGAGAACAUACCGCACGCGGGUCUUCGGACUUUCGUGCAAGGGUGAAAAGGCGAGGUAAGAGCUCACCGCUCCCGCCGUGAGGCGGGGGGCUAGGCAAACCCCACCGGGAGCAAGGCAGUUGGGCGGUCGCACGGCUCGUGCAGGUCCCGAAUCACGUGAUCGGGGCCGAUCGCCCGGUAGCCGCCAAGAGAAAUGAUCCCUGCCUUCGGCGAAAGCCGGAGGGACAGAAUCCGGGGUAUAGGCCGAUCCGCAAC